UACGAAGGGGGCUAGCGUUGUUCGGAUUUACUGGGCGUAAAGCGCACGUAGGCGGGUCGUUAAGUCAGGGGUGAAAUCCCGGAGCUCAACUCCGGAACUGCCUUUGAUACUGGCGACCUUGAGGCUGGAAGAGGUUAGUGGAAUUCCCAGUGUAGAGGUGAAAUUCGUAGAUAUUGGGAAGAACACCAGUGGCGAAGGCGGCUAACUGGUCCAGCAUCUGACGCUGAGGUGCGAAAGCGUGGGGAGCAAACAGG
rnacentral:rRNA from 1 species